rnacentral:rRNA from 1 species
UACGAAGGGGGCUAGCGUUGCUCGGAAUCACUGGGCGUAAAGGGCGCGUAGGCGGACUCUUAAGUCGGGGGUGAAAGCCCAGGGCUCAACCCUGGAAUUGCCUUCGAUACUGGGAGUCUUGAGUUCGGAAGAGGUUGGUGGAACUGCGAGUGUAGAGGUGAAAUUCGUAGAUAUUCGCAAGAACACCGGUGGCGAAGGCGGCGCUCUGGACCGAGACUGACGCUGAGGCGCGAAGGCGUGGGGAGCAAACAGG